rnacentral:rRNA from 1 species
UACGGGAGGCAGCAGUAGGGAAUAUUGCACAAUGGGGGAAACCCUGAUGCAGCGACGCCGCGUGAAGGAUGAAGUAUUUCGGUAUGUAAACUUCUAUCAGCAAGGAAGAAAAUGACGGUACUUGACUAAGAAGCCCCGGCUAAAUACGUGCCAGCAGCCGCGGUAAU